GGCAGUUCUCGGGUGACACACCCUGGAAUCGGGCUCCCUCCUCUCUGGUUCCAGGUGUGUCACCUGAGAACCGCA
rfam:Myotis lucifugus cont2.9002, whole genome shotgun sequence.